GAUGAACGCUGGCGGCGUGCUUAACACAUGCAAGUCGAACGGAAAGGCCCAAGCUUGCUUGGGGACUCGAGUGGCGAACGGGAGGGUAACACGUGGGUGAUCUGCCCUGCACUUCGGGAUAAGCCUGGGAAACUGGGUCUAAUACCGGAUAGGACCACUUCUUGGUUGUUGUGGUGGAAUGUUUUUUCGGUGUGGGAUGGGUUCGCGGCCUAUCAGCUUGUUGGUGGGGUAAUGGCCUACCAAGGCGUCGACGGGUAGCCGGCCUGAGAGGGUGUACGGCCACAGUGGGACUGAGAGACGGCCCAGACUCCUACGGGAGGCAGCAGUGGGGAGUAUUGCACAAUGGGCGCAAGCCUGAUGCAGCGACGCCGCGUGGGGGAUGACGGCCUUCGGGUUGUAAACUCCGUUCGCUAGGGACGAAGCGUUUUGUGACGGUACCUGGAGAAGAAGCACCGGCUAACUACGUG
rnacentral:rRNA from 1 species